rnacentral:lncRNA from 1 species
UUCUAAAUGGCCGAGUCUUUAAUUUUAAAAGCCGUAAAAAUUAUCAACAGUCCGUUAUAACUUUUCUUGAGAUGUUUCUCACUUAGACCACAAACAGAGAGAGGUAUUUGUUAUUCACAUGAUUUUAUUUCCGGAAACAAUAUCACCAAUUUAUAGAUAGUACUUUACAAGCAAUAUUUAUACAUCUGAAAAAUGUCGCCGGUAAUUUGCAGAG